CCUACGGGGGGCUGCAGUGGGGAAUAUUGGACAAUGGGGGGAACCCUGAUCCAGCCAUGCCGCGUGUGUGAAGAAGGCCCUCGGGUUGUAAAGCACUUUCAGUGAGGAAGAACGCCUGGUGGUUAAUACCCAUCAGGAAAGACAUCACUCACAGAAGAAGCACCGGCUAACUCCGUGCCAGCAGCCGCGGUAAUACGGAGGGUGCGAGCGUUAAUCGGAAUUACUGGGCGUAAAGCGCGCGUAGGUGGCUUGAUAAGCCGGUUGUGAAAGCCCCGGGCUCAACCUGGGAACGGCAUCCGGAACUGUCAAGCUAGAGUGCAGGAGAGGAAGGUGGAAUUCCCGGUGUAGCGGUGAAAUGCGUAGAGAUCGGGAGGAAUACCAGUGGCGAAGGCGGCCUUCUGGACUGAAACUGACACUGAGGUGCGAAAGCGUGGGUAGCAAACAGGAUUAGAUACCCUAGUAGUC
rnacentral:rRNA from 1 species